GGUGCUUGCAUCAUGAUUUACAUUUGAGUGAGUGGCGAACUGGUGAGUAACACGUGGGAAACCUGCCCAGAAGCGGGGGAUAACACCUGGAAACAGAUGCUAAUACCGCAUAACAACUUGGACCGCAUGGUCCGAGUUUGAAAGAUGGCUUCGGCUAUCACUUUUGGAUGGUCCCGCGGCGUAUUAGCUAGAUGGUGGGGUAACGGCUCACCAUGGCAAUGAUACGUAGCCGACCUGAGAGGGUAAUCGGCCACAUUGGGACUGAGACACGGCCCAAACUCCUACGGGAGGCAGCAGUAGGGAAUCUUCCACAAUGGACGAAAGUCUGAUGGAGCAACGCCGCGUGAGUGAAGAAGGGUUUCGGCUCGUAAAACUCUGUUGUUAAAGAAGAACAUAUCUGAGAGUAACUGUUCAGGUAUUGACGGUAUUUAACCAGAAAGCCACGGCUAACUACGUGCCAGCAGCCGCGGUAAUACGUAGGUGGCAAGCGUUGUCCGGAUUUAUUGGGCGUAAAGCGAGCGCAGGCGGUUUUUUAAGUCUGAUGUGAAAGCCUUCGGCUCAACCGAAGAAGUGCAUCGGAAACUGGGAAACUUGAGUGCAGAAGAGGACAGUGGAACUCCAUGUGUAGCGGUGAAAUGCGUAGAUAUAUGGAAGAACACCAGUGGCGAAGGCGGCUGUCUGGUCUGUAACUGACGCUGAGGCUCGAAAGUAUGGGUAGCAAACAGGAUUAGAUACCCUGGUAGUCCAUACCGUAAACGAUGAAUGCUAAGUGUUGGAGGGUUUCCGCCCUUCAGUGCUGCAGCUAACGCAUUAAGCAUUCCGCCUGGGGAGUACGGCCGCAAGGCUGAAACUCAAAGGAAUUGACGGGGGCCCGCACAAGCGGUGGAGCAUGUGGUUUAAUUCGAAGCUACGCGAAGAACCUUACCAGGUCUUGACAUACUAUGCAAAUCUAAGAGAUUAGACGUUCCCUUCGGGGACAUGGAUACAGGUGGUGCAUGGUUGUCGUCAGCUCGUGUCGUGAGAUGUUGGGUUAAGUCCCGCAACGAGCGCAACCCUUAUUAUCAGUUGCCAGCAUUAAGUUGGGCACUCUGGUGAGACUGCCGGUGACAAACCGGAGGAAGGUGGGGAUGACGUCAAAUCAUCAUGCCCCUUAUGACCUGGGCUACACACGUGCUACAAUGGAUGGUACAACGAGUUGCGAACUCGCGAGAGUAAGCUAAUCUCUUAAAGCCAUUCUCAGUUCGGAUUGUAGGCUGCAACUCGCCUACAUGAAGUCGGAAUCGCUAGUAAUCGCGGAUCAGCAUGCCGCGGUGAAUACGUUCCCGGGCCUUGUACACACCGCCCGUCACACCAUGAGAGUUUGUAACACCCAAAGU
rnacentral:rRNA from 2 species